rnacentral:rRNA from 1 species
CCCUUAGAGUUUGAUCAUGGCUCAGAACGAACGCUGGCGGCAGGCCUAACACAUGCAAGUCGAGCGCACCUUCGGGUGAGCGGCGGACGGGUUAGUAACGCGUGGGAACAUACCCUUUUCUACGGAAUAGCCUCGGGAAACUGAGAGUAAUACCGUAUAAGCCCUUCGGGGGAAAGAUUUAUCGGGAAAGGAUUGGCCCGCGUUAGAUUAGAUAGUUGGUGGGGUAAUGGCCUACCAAGUCUACGAUCUAUAGCUGGUUUUAGAGGAUGAUCAGCAACACUGGGACUGAGACACGGCCCAGACUCCUACGGGAGGCAGCAGUGGGGAAUCUUAGACAAUGGGCGCAAGCCUGAUCUAGCCAUGCCGCGUGUGUGAUGAAGGUCUUAGGAUCGUAAAGCACUUUCGCCAGGGAUGAUAAUGACAGUACCUGGUAAAGAAACCCCGGCUAACUCCGUGCCAGCAGCCGCGGUAAUACGGAGGGGGUUAGCGUUGUUCGGAAUUACUGGGCGUAAAGCGUACGUAGGCGGAUUGGAAAGUUGGGGGUGAAAUCCCAGGGCUCAACCCUGGAACUGCCUCCAAAACUAUCAGUCUAGAGUUCGAGAGAGGUGAGUGGAAUUCCAAGUGUAGAGGUGAAAUUCGUAGAUAUUUGGAGGAACACCAGUGGCGAAGGCGGCUCACUGGCUCGAUACUGACGCUGAGGUACGAAAGUGUG